CACUCCUGCUGUGCGCAUACGUGCAGGCAGAACACAGAUGGUACCAGACACUCCUACUGUGCGCAUACGUGCAGGCAGAACACGGAUGGUACCAGACACUCCUACUGUGCGCAUACGUGCAGGCAGAACACGGAUGGUACCAGACACUCCUACUGUGCGCAUAUGUGCAGGCAGAACACGUAUGGUACCAGACACUCCUACUGUGCGCAUACGUGCAGGCAGAACACGGAUGGUACCAGACACUCCUACUGUGCACAUACGUGCAGGCGGAACACACUUUUACAUGUUUAAGAGCUAUAAACCAGUGUCUUUCAUGAAUUUAAAUGUGAAAGUCCUUGACAUACUAGGAAUGAAAGACACAUUCUUUAACUUGGUAAAGAAAGCUAUAACAAACCAACAGAC
rnacentral:lncRNA from 1 species